rnacentral:misc_RNA from 1 species
GUCGUAACAAGGUUUCCGUAGGUGAACCUGCGGAAGGAUCAUUACCACACCAAGAUCCACGAUCUUACUUUUUGUGAAUUUGUUGGCCUCGACGCAUAAUUACACACAUGUGUAGUUGUCGAGUCGCCGACUGCCUAAGUAAAGCAAACUGACCUCCCUCGUCUACUCUGCGUCUUGCAGAAAGAAACUUGAACCGCUUGAGGAUCAAGGCAGACUAGAUAGAGCAGUGUCCUCCUAAAUAAAUUAUGUGCAUGACCCUAAAUAACUAAAGCAAAGCGUAUGUAUUGUCUAACGAUACACGCAAACUAGAAAUUCAUUUACAACUUUCAGCGAUGGAUGUCUAGGUUCCCA